rnacentral:rRNA from 1 species
UACAGAGGUCCCAAGCGUUGUUCGGAUUCACUGGGCGUAAAGGGUGCGUAGGCGGUCGGGUAAGUCUGAUGUGAAAUCUCACAGCUUAACUGUGAAACUGCAUUGGAUACUAUUCGGCUUGAGAGUUGGAGGGGGGACUGGAAUUCUUGGUGUAGCAGUGAAAUGCGUAGAUAUCAAGAGGAACACCAGUGGCGAAGGCGAGUCCCUGGACAACUUCUGACGCUGAGGCACGAAAGCUAGGGGAGCAAAC